UUCUAUCCUAACAGACUGAAAUCGUGGGAGAAAUUGGAAAGAUUUUUUUUAUAUUAAGAUAAUGAGAAUUUUUUUGUAUUUGUGCACAAAUAAUUAAAAGGAAAAUAAUAGACUAUAACUAUGCUUCGAACAAAUAGGCUCAGAUGUUGCCAUAUUUCUUUUUAUUAAUAUAGUGGGGUUUUUUGACACACUACUGCAUUAAAAUGCAAAUUCUUACAAAAACAACACCAGCACAUAUUGGAACAAUUUUCAGUUCACCUUUAUGAAAUUGUCAGUUCACCACAUACAGCAUAUUGGGGGCAGAUGAAGAGUGCUGGAUGUGCUUAUAUCAAUGAGCAAGUUCGACUAGCUUCAUACCGUGGCACCGUGGCAUCGGUGUGACCACGUAAACCCAGAGGAAUGGCCAUCGCAGAUUAGUUCCAAACUGCUUACUCUGUAACAAUCCAUAACCGUGAUUUGAUGGAUCACAUAAAGAAACACUGUAAAGCUGUGCAAGCGCUGAUUAGAACUUCCAUCCACCAUUACUCUCUCAAUGGCUGCAACACAUUCCAGGCAAAUUAUAGCAGGACGACAAUGCCCCUGCUCACUGGAGUCUACUGGUCACUGCGUAUCUGCAGCAACAGAACAUCACCGUGGCCAGCCCUAAGUCCAGACCCUUCACCCAUUGAGCACAUGUGGGACAUCAUCGGAUGACGUCUCCGAGAAUGUCAACUUCAGCCAACCAACUUGGCUGAAUUAGGUGCCGCUCUCCAAGAGGAAUGAAACAGGAUCCCCCAAAAUGUUAUUGGACGUUUUAAUCAGGAUUGGAUUCGUGUGUGCUUGGCAAACCAUGGGGGUUUUACCCGUUACUAGUGCAAAUAUUGAAAACAUCAAAUUGACAAGCACCACCCCUGUUGCCUAUCUGUGUCUCCUCCUGACCUACAUCACUAUCCUGGCUAUAAUCUUUAAUGUCAAUCCCUUGUCACACGAGUGCUUGUGUUUUAGCAUUAUUAUUUUUUAUUAUUAUAUUUUUUAAAUAAAGUUUAUUGACACCAGAAAACAAAUCCAGUAGUGACAAGGGUUUUACCAUUAAUUAAUACGGCAAUAAAAAUUAAUACACCUCUGUUA